AUUUUUCCCUGAGUUCCACAGAGAUGUGGUGAACGGAGAGCCUAGAUCUCAGCGGCUUGUGUUGGCCGCAGUGAAGAGAGGCAGGCAGAGAGGAAGGAGUGUGCAUAUGUUCUCCUUCAUAUCCAGAGGAGUUGCCUUAGUGGACCAGUUUUCUGGGGACCUGCUGAGAAUCACUGCACACCUAAAAUGGAUACUAGUUCUCACCCCGUGGUGACCUGCAGCCCACCAGCUUCUCCUUUCAUCUGCCUCUGACUUCUUUUCAGCUCCAGAGGUAGGUGAAAAAAAGAGCAAGUUUACCCUACCCUUCUAGCCUGAGGAGAAAUAGAGUCCUCACACCUUUAAAAGAGCUGUAUUAGAUGUGAGGCCAUUGUAGUCAUGGAUUUAUACUGUUAGGUGAUUUCCUUGAUAUUUAUUUUUAGGUUUUCUGUAUAGCCAAAGGAUCGGGUGAGGUGUUAACCUGUAAGUUUGAAAACUAAACCUCUGGAGAAUUAACCAACCUAUCAGUGGCAUUUAUUUAGCACUCACUCUGAGCAGAGCACUAUACCAAGUGCUUGGGAGAUUGACAACAGAGUUGAUAGAGAAUGACUGCUUUGGAAUUCUCUCUCGGAUGUCUAUCUGAAAUCCUCCUGAGAAAUGUGUGAGGUUGUCUUUUGGAAAUUUGUUUAAAGUCAUUUAGUUCUCAAUCAAGAGUAUGUAUUGAGUGCUUCCUAUGUGGAAAGCACUGUGCUAAGUCCUCAGUAGGAAAAUGUUU
rnacentral:lncRNA from 1 species